rnacentral:misc_RNA from 1 species
GAUGAAGAACGUAGCGAAUUGCGAUAUGUAAUGUGAAUUGCAGAUUUUCAGUGAAUCAUCGAAUCUUUGAACGCACAUUGCGCCCCUUGGUAUCCCGAGGGGCAUGCCUGUUCGAGCGUCAUUUCACCACUCAAGCCUGGCUUGGUGUUGGGCGACGUCCCCUUUGGGGACGCGCCUCGAAACGCUCGGCGGCGUGGCACCGGCUUUAAGCGUAGCAGAAUCUUUCGCUUUGGAAGUCGGGGCCCCGUCUGCCGGAAGACCUACUCGCAAGGUUGACCUCGGAUCAGGCAGGGAUACCCGCUGAACUUAAGCAUAUCAAUAAGCGGAGGA